AGGAAAGUGUGCUACUGGAGAGCUGGGUGGUGCAGACACUAACAAGGACCAGGAGGGAAAACCCCACAGCCAUGCUUUGACCUACCCAGAUCUGUUUUGUAUGAGAGCACUGCUACUGCUAGAACACUAGUUGGCAACUCCUCCAAAUCUAUGCUAUGCUUCACAGUAUGUCAGCCAAAUUAUGGCUGCCCUCUGCACAGCUGCAUUUAGAAGAUGCAGGCUGAUCAACGAAUCUCCAAUGCUAAAUGAGUGUUACCUUUAUUGGUUUUCACUGGACUGUACUUUACCAUCCAUCACAACCUGAGAAGAUAAGACGACAGACAAAUCUAAGUCUUUAUCCAUUUUAUGUAGAAUACUGGUAUGCACAAGUCAUUGUUUUAUAGUUUUCUUUCAUAACUUGGAUUUGAUUAAUUUGUUUUCAAAGGCCUAAAGAAGGUCUGUUUUCUUUCAUUCUCAGAAUGGAAGUUGGAAUUGGUGUGGUCCACAAAGUGAGGACCUGGCUUUGUUCUGUCAGUGACAUUGUGUUCUGUGCUUUCAGUUCAGAAAGUGAGACAUGGUCCUUUGCUUCUAUGUCCAGUGAAUACUGUGCUGGAUUGAAGUCCACAUUAAUUCCUACUUUAGCUUUUACAAAAUGGUACAUCAAAGCCCAGUAGUUACUUAUUGAUGAAACGAACAGCUUUCUUGGCAAUGCAGUAAGGAAUCUGAGUCAUGCUCACUUAGUGAAACUUGGGUGCAGAGAUGAUUGCAUUCUAUUCAAAAUGGCAGAGGAGUGGUACUGGAUUGCUCAAUUUAAAUUUGUGUAUUUGUUCUGAUGUUUGUUCAGAUGAGUCUCAUCAUACUGACAGGCAUUGCAGCUAUUCGUAUAUUUUAGCUGUGGCUAUUUCUAAUUCUUACAUUUGACUGAGGAUUCUAUUCUUAAAGGGGAAUCCUAUUUUUAAAUCACUCUUUAAAAA